rnacentral:rRNA from 1 species
CGUCAAAUCAGCGUGGCCUUUAUGCCUUGGGCGACACACGUGCUACAAUGGACAGGUCACAAUGGGUUGCGAGGCCGUAAGGCGGAGCUAAUCCCACCAAAACUGUCCCAAGUUCGGAUUGGGGUCUGCAACUCGACCCCAUGAAGCUGGAAUCGCUAGUAACCGCAGAUCAGCCAUGCUGCGGUGAAUACGUUCUCGGGUCUUGUACACACCGCCCGUCACACCAAGAAAGUGAGAAACAUCCGAAAUCUCUCGGUUACGAGGGCCUAAGGUGGAGCU